GACGAACGCUGGCGGCGUGCUUAAUACAUGCAAGUCGAACGGAAAGGCCCUGCUCUUGUGGCGUGCUCGAUUGGCGAACGGGUGUGUAACACGUGUGUAACCUGCCCCUGACUGUCUGAUAACUUCAGGAAACUGGGGCUAAUAUCGGGUAUGAUCUUCUGCUGCAUGUUGGUGGUUGGAAAGUGUCGGCGGUUGGGGAUGGACUCGCGGCUUAUCAGCUUGUUGGUGGGGUAGUUGCUUACCAAGGCUUUGACGGGUAGCCGGCCUGAGAGGGUGACCGGCCACAUUGGGACUGAGAUACGGACCAGACUCCUACGGUAGGCAGCAGUGGGGAAUAUUGCACAAUGGGCGGAAGCCUGAUGCAGCAACGCCGCGUGCGGGAUGACGGCCUUCGGGUUGUAAACCGAUUUCGCAUGUGACGAAGCGUGAGUGACGGUAAUGGGUAAAGAAGCACCGGCUAACUACGUG
rnacentral:rRNA from 1 species